UUCCCAACCGUUCUCGCUCGGUCGAGUCUGCACUUGAAGUCGCCGUUGUCACAGCGCGCGCCAUUCAGAUCUCGUUGAACAGGCAAGUAAUUCACACGUCUUUUGCAUAUCGCCAACAAACAGUGAAACGUUGGUUCUGUGAACUCCAGUGUGUAGAACAAACAUUCGAGUGGAAUAAGUGACUGUAAAAAGUUGAUUGGCUAGCAAUUACCAUAUAUCGGAGGACCGGGUAAUCGAGAAUUCCAGUGUGCGGCAAGUUGAACUGCAGUUCUUGUUUUUUAGCGUAGCAGACAGACUAACUGUGCAGUGGGUGUUAUUGAGUGGCGCCAGCCUAGUAAGGGCGUUGAGGAAUUUCAGUGAAUUGUGUAGAGCCAGGACAUUUCGGUUGCAAGAGCGAACAUUUUCUGUUGUCCGAUGACUUGUGCAUUGAGAAGUGAAAUUCUGGAGAAAGUGAAACCAAGGCACACGUCCAUGAUGGAUGCGUUGAUGCGAAGAAACAGUUUCAACAUUUCAUUCAACAAGCUGUGGCAUCCCGGCACCGAGAAGACCCGCUCGAAGAGUGGAUCCUUCGGGAGCUCGGUGGCAAUACAGAAGCUGCGCGAGUCCAAGUGGUUCGAUCGGGGUGAGGAGCGCAUCUUCUGUGCGGUCAUCGAAGCCGGUUUCAUCGUCGAACUGCGUCAUCCCGAAACCGGCGAGAGCUGGUACGGCGUAACGGCCAUCGAGCUAAAGAAAUUGGCUAAACCAACAGCAGAAAACAUCAAAAUCUAUUCGGUCAAACUAGGUGACAGUCACAAGCGGCUAAAGAUCUUCAACAGUUCUCUCGAUUACUUGUGGCAGCAGGGUUACCAAAUUCGCAUCAAUAAUCUCUGCGACAAAACCAAGAAAGCUCACAGCGAAAAGGACAUCAUGGCUCAGAUCAAAUACGCCGCCAAAACGAAGAUGGCCUUCCACAACAGUCAGCACUUUACCGAAUUCUGCCGGUACGGUGACCGACCGCAGGACAACCGGAAACGACAAGUAAGUGUACUGUUGAAACGGAUCGAAGAUGCACUGAACGGAUCGCAGACGUACUUUUGAGAACCGCGCCUCCUCCCUUCCUUCUACAUCAACAACGCGCGGAACAAACACGAAUUGAGAGAUCUCCGAGUGUGCCAAAUGGGGUGGAACGAACAUGGGCGCCACCAUCAUCUACUUUGCCAUGCAAUCGCAAAAGGCCAAUUCCCGAUGAGCUGGGAAACUUGUCCAGCGCAUAAUAUCUGCAACAUGCUGCAAUAAUGGGAGAGAGUGAGAUCGCGAAUAAAGAGUACUAGUCGUGGACUCUGGUUGACUGGAGGCCAUGCCUCUCCGGUCGAGCCCAUCAAAAAGACGUGACUGUAUUAUAUGCAUAAAAUAGAUUCUAUGUGUAUGAAGUUAAGUGAUUCUGUUGUACACUAAGUGUAAAUUUACUAGGAUUAAGAAUAGCGGAAUCUAUAUCUUUAGAUUACCAUAUUAAUGUUAAACAUAGGAAUUUGUUGUUUAGAGCAAAUGUUGUAAAUAUCUUUUUUGGAUCCUAAAUUUUAAGAGAAGCUAAAAUCUGUUGAAACUUGAACAAUUGAAAGUAGUGUUAUUGUUUAAACUUGAUUAUCCAAAAGUUGGCAAACCAGAGAAAUAAAGUGAUUUCGGUAAAAUCUUAGUUUGAUUAAUGACAAAUCAUCGCUAACGAACAUAUAAUAUUAGUGUGUAAGGUGCGAUUCGCACCCGAUCAUGAGAAGACCAUCCUAGUCCGGUACGUGAUCAGACUCGAGAGUUUCGAGGUGUGAAUACGUCACAGCGGUUUCUCAAGUCCGCGUGAGCAACGGAAAAAAAUGUGAAAUAUUUUCGCUAAUUAUAGACGACAGCUUUCUGUGCCAAAUUGUUAAUUUCCUUUAUGUGUAAAGAGAGAUCUAGACAGUAAGAUGAAUUUAUCGCUAAUAAAGAAGACAUGAUUUAUUGCCAAAACAAAA